AGCGAACGCUGGCGGCAGGCCUAACACAUGCAAGUCGAACGCACCUUCGGGUGAGUGGCGGACGGGUGAGUAACACGUGGGAACGUACCUUUAGGUUCGGAAUAACGCAGGGAAACUUGCGCUAAUACCGAAUGUGCCCUUCGGGGAAAGAUUUAUCGCCUUUAGAGCGGCCCGCGUUAGAUUAGCUAGUUGGUGAGGUAAUGGCCCACCAAGGCUACGAUCUAUAGCUGGUCUGAGAGGAUGACCAGCCACACUGGGACUGAGACACGGCCCAGACUCCUACGGGAGGCAGCAGUGGGAAUCUUGCGCAAUGGGCGAAAGCCUGACGCAGCCAUGCCGCGUGAAUGAUGAAGG
rnacentral:rRNA from 1 species